AGCGAACGCUGGCGGCAGGCCUAACACAUGCAAGUCGAACGGAUCCUUCGGGAUUAGUGGCGGACGGGUGGGUAACACGUGGGAACGUGCCCUUUGGUUCGGAACAACUCAGGGAAACUUGAGCUAAUACCGGAUGUGCCCUUCGGGGGAAAGAUUUAUCGCCAUUGGAGCGGCCCGCGUCUGAUUAGCUAGUUGGUGAGGUAACGGCCCACCAAGGCGACGAUCAGUAGCUGGUCUGAGAGGAUGAUCAACCACACUGGGACUGAGACACGGCCCAGACUCCUACGGGAGGCAGCAGUGGGGAAUCUUGCGCAAUGGGCGAAAGCCUGACGCAGCCAUGCCGCGUGAAUGAUGAAGGUCUUAGGAUUGUAAAAUUCUUUCAGCGGGGACGAUAAUGACGGUACCCGCAGAAGAAGCUCCGGCUAACUUCGUG
rnacentral:rRNA from 1 species